rnacentral:rRNA from 1 species
GUUAUGUUCUUUAAAUUUAAAAAAUUUGGCGGUAUUUUAGUCUUAUUAGAGGAACCUGUUUUUUAAUUGAUAAUCCACGAUUAAUUUUACUUAUUUUAUUUUAAUUCAUAUAUCGCUGUCAUGAAUAUAUUUAAAAAUUAAUUUUCUUUAUUUAUUGUUAUAAUUUAUGUUAAGUCAAGAUGUGGUUUAUAAAUAAGUGUAUAAUGGGUUACAUUAAAUUUUAUUUAUGGAUUUUAAAUGAAAAUUAAAAUGAAAUUGGAUUUAAUAGUAAAUUUAUUUAUUUAAUUAAUAUGAAGAAAGAUCUAAAAUAUGUACAUAUUGCCCGUCAUUCUUAUUAAAAAUAAGACAAGUCGUAACAAAGUAAAUGUACUGGAAAGUGUAUUUAGAAAGAUUAUAUUUUAUAUAAA